rnacentral:rRNA from 1 species
UACGUAGGGUGCGAGCGUUAAUCGGAAUUACUGGGCGUAAAGCGUGCGCAGGCGGUUUUGUAAGUCAGACGUGAAAGCCCCGGGCUUAACCUGGGAAUUGCGUUUGAAACUGCAAGGCUAGAGUACGGCAGAGGGGGGUAGAAUUCCACGUGUAGCAGUGAAAUGCGUAGAUAUGUGGAGGAAUACCGAUGGCGAAGGCAGCCCCCUGGGCUAGUACUGACGCUCAUGCACGAAAGCGUGGGGAGCAAACAGGAUUAGAUACCCUGGUAGUCCACGCCCUAAACUAUGACAACUAGUUGUUGGGGAUUAACAUCCUUAGUAACGCAGCUAACGCGUGAAGUUGUCCGCCUGGGG